rnacentral:rRNA from 1 species
UACGUAGGGUGCAAGCGUUAAUCGGAAUUACUGGGCGUAAAGCGUGCGCAGGCGGUUCUGUAAGUUUGUCGUGAAAUCCCCGGGCUCAACCUGGGAAUUGCGAUGAAGACUGCAAGGCUAGAAUCUGGCAGAGGGGGGUAGAAUUCCACGUGUAGCAGUGAAAUGCGUAGAGAUGUGGAGGAACACCGAUGGCGAAGGCAGCCCCCUGGGUCAAGAUUGACGCUCAUGCACGAAAGCGUGGGGGGCAAACAGG